UACCAUUCAUCCUAUUUCUUACUACACAGUUCUGGCACACUCAUUUUGUUUGUUUGCUUUAUUCUGAGCCAAACGGUUGCACCCAUCUGCUUUCAAAGAUGCAAAGAAUCACCUCCAAGCAGAUUGGCCAAUUUUUCAUUUUACUUGUAACACCUUUAAUUUCAUGCACAUUACGGAAGACAGCUUUAUUCUUUACAACAUCUGUGGUGCAAGUUAUCUGCUGAUACUGGCAUUUAUUAUCUAAUUACAUAUUUGCAUGCUUUGGCAUUACAUAGAUUUCACUUAGCUGCUUGGGUGUAAUUUCCAGUGCCCUGCCCUCAGCUAGGAAGAUUAAGUACAGACAUUUUUCAUAUUCUUGUUCUGAACACGAGCAUGCAAAGUUACCAUUUUCUUCCCUAGGACUUCUUGGGAUACUACUAAAAGAUCUGACUGAAAAGAUCGCCAUUUCUCUAUGAUUAUGGAAAAAAAAAAUCACACUUCCUAGUUAGGGGUGAUCUGAGACACUACUAUUCAAAAGGUUGAAAAAAAAUCUAAAGAAUGAGAAAUAGUUUCUAGCCAUGAAUGCUUUAAACAAAAUCUUGACAAAAUGAAUUGUGAAUGGACAAAGUUAACAGCAGCACAUUACUGAUGUAGUUACUGUUACUCCACCGUCAAGCUCAGAGGUGUUCUGUAGCUCCGUGCCUUCGGUCCGCAACAGAAAAAAAAUAUAUAUAUAUAUCAAUGAAAAGUUGGAAGGAGCAACCUGACAUGGAAAGGAACUUAAAUUCAAGCAACGAGGGCAAACAUUUAAACGUCCAAAGCGAGACAACAUACACCCUCCCAGACAAAUACAUUUACAUGCAUCUCCCACCUCCACCUCUACCUGUUUCUGGUGUGUUUUCCUCUUUGCACCUGUUCACUGCCUACUGCCUCUUUGCUUAUCCUGCCUCAGCCUCCUUAAAUUUAUAACGUGCAACAAGCCUCGAUCUCCCUAGAGAGGAACUGCGACACAACGUAGCAGCACCAAGUUCCCUCCAAAGGUAAGGAGCAAACUUCCUACAGAAGGAAAGUUGCUCAGGAAGAGGAAUGAAUCACUCAGCUCCAGCACCAAGGCCCUCACUGCCACAGAACGGGUCAACUGACACAGUGCGGGGGCAUAACUCAUGUACAACCUAGGUAGCACCUAAAUGGCAGCUUCAGCUUAAAAGGCUGAGUAAUACAUUUGACAAAACGUGGCAAGCACUGAGAAUGGGGGGAAAGGGAGAACAGCAGAACAAGCUUAAGGGAACAAGCUUCUUUAGGUGGUGAGCCGAGGCAUGAAUGGAAACUGAUGAGGACAGCUCAAGGCAGGAAUCAUAAACCCAGAGGAUAGCAGUGAGUACGCAAACAGGACAGGAUGUUUUCAGCCAUGUGGGUGUCUGUUCUCUCAACUCUAGCAAUACCUGCCUAAAAAUAUGAAGUUGAACCCAGAUCAGUUAAACCCAAGGCAACCUCUGCCUUAAUCAAAACAAAAUCCAAGUUUGGGGAUUUCGUACAAUACCCAAUGAAAAUCACAUACGAUGUUUUAAAUAAUUACACAUCCUUUAAAAAAAUUGAAGGAUGUCCUCGUCUCUUAUUAAAGGACGUUAGUCCUACCAUACUGCAGAAAUUAAAUACUUACUUUUCAUCUGUCAAACACAACAUAAAAGCUACAUACUUUCAUCAGAACCUCAGAUUGUUUGCAUUACGCAAGAAAAGUAUCUUCUUGUCCCAAAUGCUGUUUAACAGUUCUGUCUCAUUCAUAUUCUGAUCUCCACUUAACUUUCAGUAAUCACGGGACUUGGUCUUUAGUUGAGCAUAAACUCUGCUCGGUCCCAGCACUGCCCGAGACGCCGACAGCAGCCGGCACAGACCAUAAACCACCGCAGGCCUCGCCUGGCGGCCAGGAUGCGGUCCCCGAGAUGAGCUGGGGGAAGCCCAGCGCUCGGACACCUGUGGGAGCUCGGAGUUUGGGCUGGGUCCGGGAUGCUCCGCAGCCGAGGCGGCGAGGAAGGCAGCAGGCUGCGGAACGUCCUUCCCUUUCCACAGCCGUGCAGUGCUGUUGCAUUGGAGACAAAACGUCGCUGAAAUCCAACCCGAAUCUGGGCAUCUGCAGCCCAGUGCCGCUUCCACAUCUCCAGGCAGCAGAAGGCUCUCCUGGACUGGGAAGUAAGGCCCUCUGCACCUCUCCAGCUAUUAUGAAGACACUGGUUUAAAUCUAACGACCCCAGAGGGGUCCGGUCCAAAUCAGAACAGUCAUAUUUUGCUGAGUAAGAGAGUAAAGCAGCCAGUCUCGAAAUGCAGCCAUGUUGAAGAUAAUCGUUCAGGAAAUAGACAAAAUCCACAGUUAUUUUUCUGGCAAGGCUGCUGUGGAUUGGUCCCAUAAUGUCUGUAGCAUUUACAGAUUCCACAACUAAACUGAAAAAAUCAUCCUGUUUCUGAAAUCUGUUAAAGAACAUGCAAAUCUAGUUACAGUGGUAUAUUCCUACUGAAAUCUGUAUUGUUUCAACUUAUGCAUAUAUCUCCAUAUUUUAAAAGUAAUAUUAAGUUUUAAAGCACAAUUAUACACAGAUUAGCAAAACGUUUUCCACAAAUACAUACAAAUGUGUUGCAGUGCCACACGAACAAAAAGUGUAAGAAAAUACACUGAGAAAAGUUUCUGAACUAGGAGAGGAAAAUUGUCUUCAACCUGUAUUACGUAAAGACUGGUUUAAUGGCUGGUGGUGAAAACUGGAAAGGAGGAAAAAGAAUUUAAUGAAUGAAAUCCAGCUUUUGGGAGGCCAAAGAAAAAUCUGUUUCCUGAAGCACUGGAAACGUGACUUGAGAAAACCCACAAACUCCAGACGAUUCAGCUGAGGCUGCUGGUGUAAUCAGAGAAUGAAUCAUAAUCUCACUUAAGCUUCUGCAAUUUCAUUUCGUUAGUCAGAGCAAGCAGCAUCUUCACGUAUAUUCAUCCCUCCUUAGAAAGAAAGUAGAAUGGACAUGGAUGCUUACCAGAAAGCCCUGAUUUUAUGCCAGAAGCGAACACAACUAGAGUAAGUUGGAAGUGCUAGAGAGCGUUGCACAAAUGUGGUGUGUGAAGAUUUUUUUUCCCUCAAAUUUCUAAGCUGUGAGCUUUUGCUGUUAAUUUGAUCCUCUUUUCUGGGAUGAAGAGCUCUCCAGGAAGUGUAGUGUGCCGCAUUUUUAGUCUUCAGUGGGUAUUGCUAAUUUUAUACCUAAAUGAGGCAAACUAAAGACUACUUGUAAAAGGUGACAUUGUACAUUCAUUGUGCUGUUUACAUACCAUUCAUUCCUUUUAUUGCUGAGGACUUUACAUGAACAGUCAGCAAGAUAGAUCUUGAACAGGUACAGUAUUUUCAGUGAACCAAUGCCAGUUUACACAAAUAGUGUCAAUUUACAACUGAGCUCCAGCCUUGGCUGAGGACAAUGCAGUCUGUUAGAAACCAGAUUAAAAAUAUUUGAGCUUGUGUUUGUGUUCUUGGUUGUUCAUGGGAGAGCAAAUUACCUGAGCCACAAGGUUUUAUUAAAAAAAAAAAAAAGCACUAUGAAAAUACACCCAGUAUCUUACACCCAGUGAUUUUUCUUUAAACAUGUCUAAAAUACCAAAUGAGAAGUUCUAUUACUUGUUUCUGAUAUUUUUGGCUUAUAGCUGAACUAUUCCUAGUGCAUAAGGAAUUUGAGGAAAGGAAAAAGAAAACCAGCCUCACAGAUCUAUUACUUGCUAAAAAUCCUGCUAAAAUUACACUUGGAAAAAUUUGUAUGUCUGAGGUACCACAUUGGGGGUGUUUGGUCACAAGGUGCUCUCAAUCUAACUGUGCCUGUUUGGAAUCCUAUUGCAGUAACUCCAUCGCAAACAUAAAGAGGAUCACGUAGUUGGUUAAAGAAAUGUUCUGUCCUCUAGCUGUUAUUUGAUAAUAAGAAUAAUAAAUUGUUAUUUGAACAGAAGAGAUUCUACUCAAAACCUAAAGAAAAACAGGUCCUAUUUAUGAAUGUCUGCCAAACUAUAUAGGGUUCGGAGGAAGGUCCCUUUGGAAUAGUGCUUCUACCAGUCUGUCAUACUUUGUGAAAUUUCCAUGAUGUCAACACUGGGAAAGAAAUACAGAGAAAGUUCCCAUGCAUUCAAACAGUAACUAAACUGGAAGUAUUAUCUGAUCACUCAAAAAAAAAAAAAAACCAAAAAAAAAAAAA